rnacentral:rRNA from 1 species
GACGAACCGUGCGAACGUUAUUCGGAAUCACUGGGCUUAAAGCGCGUGUAGGCGGAUGGGGACGUCGGUCGCUGAAAGCCCCCGGCUCAACCGGGGAACGGGCGCCGAAACGCCCCGUCUGGAGGGACGUAGGGGGACCUGGAACUUCCGGUGGAGCGGUGAAAUGCGUUGAGAUCGGAAGGAACGCCCGUGGCGAAGGCGGUUCUCUGGGACGGUACUGACGCUGAGACGCGAAAGCGUGGGGAGCGAACAGG